GUUGUAUGGUUAAGUGACUAAGCGUACACGGUGGAUGCCUAGGCAAUCAGAGGCGAAGAAGGACGUGCUAAUCUGCGAAAAGCUUGGAU
rnacentral:rRNA from 1 species